rnacentral:rRNA from 1 species
UACGAAGGGGGCGAGCGUUGUUCGGAAUCACUGGGCUUAAAGCGUACGUAGGCGGACAAGAAAGUCAGAUGUGAAAUCCCGGGGCUCAACCCCGGAACUGCAUUUGAAACUUCUUGUCUAGAGUCCCGGAGAGGUUAGCAGAAUUCCGAGUGUAGAGGUGAAAUUCGCAGAUAUUCGGAGGAAUACCAGUGGCGAAGGCGGCUAACUGGACGGGUACUGACGCUGAGGUACGAAAGCGUGGGGAGCAAAC